UACGGAGGGUGCAAGCGUUAAUCGGAAUUACUGGGCGUAAAGCGUGCGCAGGCGGUUUGUUAAGUCCGCUGUGAAAUCCCCGAGCUCAACUUGGGAAUUGCAGUGGAUACUGGCAAGCUGGAGUAUGGUAGAGGAAGGUGGAAUUCCCGGUGUAGCAGUGAAAUGCGUAGAGAUCGGGAGGAACACCAGUGGCGAAGGCGGCCUUCUGGACCAAUACUGACGCUCAUGCACGAAAGCGUGGGGAGCGAACGGG
rnacentral:rRNA from 1 species